rnacentral:rRNA from 1 species
UACGGAGGGUGCAAGCGUUAUCCGGAUUUACUGGGUUUAAAGGGAGCGCAGGCGGAUAUUUAAGUCAGUGGUGAAAUAGUCGAGCUUAACUCGAAAACUGCCAUUGAUACUAUUUAUCUUGAAUGUCGUUGAGGUUUGCGGAAUGGGUCAUGUAGCGGUGAAAUGCUUAGAUAUGACCCGGAACACCAAUUGCGAAGGCAGCAAACUGGACGAUUAUUGACGCUGAGGCUCGAAAGCGUGGGGAUCAAACAGG